rnacentral:rRNA from 1 species
CGUUGAAACACCGGUUCUCGUACGAUCACAGAAGUUAAGCAACGACGAGCCUGGUCAGUACUCAGAUGGGCAACAACUUGAGAAUACCACGUACUGUA